GGCGUCGAGAAGGCGGCCGAGCUGGUCAAGGCCAGCGGCCUCAAGAGCCGCUGCGCGAUUUCGAAUGCGCGCCCGACGCCA
rnacentral:tRNA from 1 species